rnacentral:rRNA from 1 species
AAUGAACGUUGGCGGCAUGGAUUAGGCAUGCAAGUCGAGCGAGAAGGGUUUUGAAGCUUGCUUUAGAACCCGGAAAGCGGCGCAAGGGAGAGUAACGAGUAGUUAUCUACCCCAAGGCCCGGAAUAGCGGCGGGAAACUGCAGGUAAUGCCGGAUAAUAUCCCCGGAUCAAAGGUGUGAUUCCGCCUAGGGAGGAGACUGCUUUGUACUAGCUAGUUGGUAGGGUAAUGGCCUACCAAGGCUACGAUGCAUAGCGGGCGUGAGAGCGUGGCCCGUCUCACUGGGACGGAAACACUGCCCAGACACCUACGGGUGGCUGCAGUCGAGAAUCUUCGGCAAUGGGCGAAAGCCUGACCGAGCGAUGCCGCGUGCGGGAUGAAGGCCCUCGGGUUGUAAACCGCUGUCGUAGAGGAGAAAGGUCUGAUGAAGAAUCAGAUUUGAUCUAUUCUAGGAGGAAGUCGGGGCUAAGUUCGUGCCAGCAGCCGCCGUAAAAC